rnacentral:rRNA from 1 species
AUUCAAUGCUGGCGGCACGUCUAACACAUACAAAUCGGGCGGAUGAGGGGAGUUUGCUCCUGGAUUCAGCGGCGGACGGGUGAGUAAUGCGUAGGAAGCUGCAGGGUAGUGGGGGAUAACGUUCGGAAACGGGCGCUAAUACCGCAUACGGCCUGAGGGAGACAUUGGCAGAUCUUCGGACCUCACGCUACCAGACGAGCCUAUGUCGGAUUAGGUAGUUGGGGGGGUAAACGCCUACCAAGGCGACGAUCCGUAACCGGUCUGAGUGGAUGCUCACUCACACUAGAUCCGAGACACCGUCCAGACUCCCACGGGAGGCCGCCGUCGGGAAUAUUCGCAACUGCGCGCAAGCCUGAUCCAGCCCUGCCGCGUGUGUGAAGAAGCUCUUCGGAUUGUAGAGCACCUUACGUUGGGAGGAAGGGCAGUAACUUAAUCCCUUGCUGUUUUGCCGUCACCAACAGAAUAAGCACCGUCUACCUUCGUC